rnacentral:rRNA from 1 species
GAGUUUGAUCUUGGCUCAGAUUGAACGCUGGCGGCAUGCCUUACACAUGCAAGUCGAACGGCAGCACGGGAGCUUGCUCCUGGUGGCGAGUGGCGAACGGGUGAGUAAUGCAUCGGAACGUAUCCUGGAGUGGGGGAUAACGUAGCGGAAGUUACGCUAAUACCGCAUAUUCUGUGAGCAGGAAAGCGGGGGACCUUCGGGCCUCGCGCUCUUGGAGCGGCCGAUGUCGGAUUAGCUAGUUGGUGAGGUAAAGGCUCACCAAGGCGACGAUCCGUAGCAGGUCUGAGAGGAUGAUCUGCCACACUGGAACUGAGACACGGUCCAGACUCCUACGGGAGGCAGCAGUGGGGAAUUUUGGCCAAUGGGGGCAACCCUGAUCCAGCCAUGCCGCGUGAGUGAAGAAGGCC